rnacentral:lncRNA from 1 species
GGUGAGGGGACUAGAGAAGGGGGUACAGAGCAGAAGGCAGGGAAUCACUGAGAAUCACUUGAGAAACUGCUCUCCACAACUGCUUUAAAGAAGGUUCUUUUCCUGGCUGGUCUAGUCCAUCCAGAAUCUUAGCUUCAGGGGCGGCUCUAUCCAGGCUCAGAAAGUGGGUGAGUUCAAUGUCACGAAACUAGAUAGUGGAAGAACCAGAACUCGAAUCCAAGUCACCUAAGUUCCUGAUCAACCGUUUUCUAUUGUAGGUGGUGCUUGGUGAGGACUCCAGCAUGGGCACAGGGAGUCCCACAAUGCCAAGCAAAAGCAUUUUGACUUCGAAAAACAGGUACUUCUGAAGUGAAAUGAAUUUGGAGACUCUGUAUUCCACCGCUUUCCAGCGGGAACAUUUACUCCAUUGUCAAAGUGGCCAUGGAUCUGAAGGCAACAGAUGUGCUGCCGGUGCACGUCCAGGUGGCCGGACUGGACAAAUGUGACUCCCGGACAUUUCAGUCAACGAAACACAAGGACUAUCUGAGAAAGAGGACAGAACAAGUAACAGUUGGUAGAAGGGACAUGGAGGCAGAAGGUGGCUCAGGAUAAAAUAGAAGUAUCAGAAUUGCCAACAACAGAAGGGGCUGCUUCACACGGUGAAGGACUUGCUUGUCAUUGGAAGUAUUCAAUUAUGUACACUGCUGUGGGAAUUCUUAUCCUGAAUGAUUGAUACACGACUUCCAAGAUCCCUUCUGAUUUUGAGAGUCUAUCGCUUUCCAAAUGAACAUUCAGGAUCAGGAGGUAAGUCCUCACCAUUCAUCCACCACGUAAUAUCAGGCAGCUCAAUUCCCUGCUGAUAGUCCUUUCUAAAAUAAGAGAAAUAACAUUGGCUUAAGUCAAUGUCAACUUGACAGAUGAGAUUUAGAGAAUGUUUCUGAAGUAUUUAGAUCAUAUU